GGAUCGAUAGCUCAGUGGUAGAGCGAGAGAUUGCAGUUCUAUGCAGUUAUCUCUAGGCCCCGCGUUCGAACCGCGGUCGGUCCU
rfam:Colletotrichum gloeosporioides Nara gc5 unplaced genomic scaffold scaffold617, whole genome shotgun sequence.